CCCUAAAAUGGAAUAUUAUGUGGCGUUAAAAAAGAGAGAGAGAGAAAGAGAGGAGAAGCAAGAAAAAGAGAAAGCUUUCUACAUUCAAACUAAUAGUAGAAAACUCUCCAAGAUACAAUUUUAAAGAAAAAAAAAUCAAAGUCGAGAAAACUAUAGAGGAGGCUGCCUUUAGUGUAAGACAGUUGAAAAUUAUAAAUAUAUUCAUAUGUUUAUAAAGAAAUUUUAGGAGGCUAUAAAAAAACAAAACAAAGGGAAAGAGGAACAGGAGCUGGGACAUAGGUGAGCAAGAUGCAUGGCAGGCAUAUGUCUUCAUCUUCUUAUGCUUUUAUUUAAAAAUGUUGGACCACGUGUACAUGUUAUCUAUUUUAAAAAUUAGAUUUUAAAAUACAAGCAAGAAAACAAGAAAAUGAAAGCAUAAAAAGAGCAUGUGGAACUACCAGUAAAAGAUACUAAUCCAUGGAGAUAAUGGCAAGGUAGCUCCUAGAUGCACUGAUUUCUCUACCACACUGUAUAAACAAGCCAUCAACUAUGCGAUUUGUAAUUAAAAAUGAGUCUAUUUGAAACACCACAUUAUAAAAAGCUAUUAAGUAAAUCUUCAAAGUGACAGUAAAUGAUGACUUAACAUUUUAAAGAGAUACAGUCACAUCGCAUGUGUGAAUGCAGUCAUCUGUAUAAAAUGUCAUCAUUACCUUCAUCAUUUCUUCUUCUCCUGCUGUUUUACUUUUUGCUUCUAUGUCCCCUGCUUCAUUGCAUCUAAUAAAGCAGCUAUUUGAGGCCAACAAAUCCAUUUUCCCCUAAGUGAAACAAAAUAACAAAAUAGCCAUGAGGAUACUUCUUGUAGAAGAAAUAUUAAGUGUUUAGACUGAAUGAAUUUUUCCUCCCUGAUUUAAAAAUCACAGAAAAGAACUUAGAGAAAAACCUGAAAAAUGUAAUACAAGAACAUAUAGAAAAGGAAACCAAAAUCACCUUUCAUUUUGCUUUCAAAGAUUGCCACAAUAAAUAUUUGUAGUGUAUCUUCCUAGUAGGACUAAACUCUAAUUAGAUGAGGUAGGAUUGCUUCCUUUCUAAAAGAUCUACUGAAGAUAAAACUGAUUUAGUUCUGUUUGAAAAAUUAACUUUAAAGACAAGAACAUAAUUAUGAAUGCAUACUUUAUUCAAAUAUUAGCAUUUUAAGUAAAAUUUAUUUUCUUCACAAUUAGAAAACAUGAAAAGGCAUAUACAAUGCCUUUGGUGUUUUGAAUUUAAGAAUCAAUGUCUGAGGGACUUUUGUGUGUGAAAAUAAAUAUUCAUGGCCGGGCGCGGUGGCUCACGCCUGUAAUCCUAGCACUUUGGGAGGCCGAGGCGGGUGGAUCACGAGGUCAGGAGAUCGAGACCAUCCUGGCUAACAUGGUGAAACCCCGUCUCUACUAAAAAUACAAAAAAUUAGCCGGGUGUGGUGGCGGGCACCUGUAGUCCCAGCUACUCGGGAGGCUGAGGCAAGAGAAUGGCAUGAACCAGGGAGGCAGAGCUUGCAGUGAGCCGAGAUCGUGCCACUGCACUCCAGCCUGGGCGACAGAGCCAGACUCUGCUUAAAAAAUAAAUAAAUAAAUAAAUAUUCAUACACAUUUUUCGUUGUUUAAUGUUUGAUGUAUUACACUGCUUUCUAUUAAACAAAACUUUAAAAACUGAUUUUCUUGUGUAUCUAAAUCUGGGUUAUAAAUUUGGUUAGCUUAACUCCCGUAACAAAUAUAGUGUUUAUUUAUAACUUGUAUUUGGUUGAUUCUUUUGGAAAACUUGGAAUACAAUAACAUUUAGACAAAAUAUUUAUAAAUACAAUGAUUACAAAAUAUGUUAACCUUAUAUCACAUCCAGUUAAAAACGUGCUGAUAAUAUGGAUUUAAUUUCUUAGUCAAGUCACAAGGGCUGGGUGGUCUCUCAUCUCGAUGGCUCCCGGUGAGCCCUGGAACAUGGCGGUGUGGUCCAAGGCGAUUUAAACCUGUGCCGCAGAUUAUUCAGCUGAGUCCUUUUUGCAAUAGAGAUUUAAGACCCUCUUUCAUUUAAAUUUAAAUUUUUGAAACUUAGUGUCAAAUGCUAAAAUAUCAUUGGAACAUUACUUUAGAUUAGAAAAUAUUUUAUUAAUAAUUCAGACAGAGUGUGAUAUGGUUUGGCUGUGUCCCCCCCAAAUCUCAUCUUGAAUUGUAGUUCCCAUAAUCCCCACAUGUUACCCAGUGGGAGGUAAUUGAAUCAUGGGGGCGGUUAGCCCAUGCUGCUAUUCUCAUGAUAGUGAGUGAGUUCUCAUGAGAUCUGAUGGUUUUAUCCAGGACUUUUCCCCCUUUUGCUCAGCACCUCUCCUUGCUGCUGCCAUGUGAAGAAGGAUGUGUUUGCUUCCCGUUCCGCCAUGAUUGUAAGUUUCCUGAGGCCUCCCCGAACUAUGAGUCAAUUAAAUCUCUUUCGUUUAUAAAUAGCCGAGCACUGUGAGAAUGGACUAAUAAAUACGAGUGUCUUAAUCCAUUUUGCAUUGUUAUAAAGGAAUAUCUGAGGCUGGGUAAUUUAAUAAAAUAAGACAUUUAUUUGACUCACGGUUCUUCAGGCUCUGCAAGAAGCAUGGCACCAGCAUCUGCUUCUGGUGAGGACCUCAUGAAGUUUCUAACCAUGGGGGGAGGCCAAGAGAGAGCAGGCAUGUCACAUGGCAAGGGAGGGAGCAAGAGAGAGGGGAGGAGUGCCAUGCUCUUUUAGGCAGCCAGAUCCCACAGGAACUAAGAGUGAGAAUUCACUCAAUCCUAACAUAAUGACACCAAGCAACUCAUGAGGGAUCUGCCCCCCUGACCCAAACACCUCCAACUAGGCCCCACCUCCCACAUUAGGGAUGAAAUUUCAACAUGAUAUUUGGAGGGAACUAAUAUCCAAACUAUGUCAUAGAGGUAUGUGUGUAACCUCAUUCAUUUAUGCAUUCAUUCAACAAAAUAUGUAGUGAGCACCUGCUAUGUGCCAGGCACUGUGCUAGGCUGUAGAUAUGACUCAUAAAUAAGAUUAAUAUUGCCACAGUCCUUAGGAGCCUAGUGUAGUUGGGGAGUAAAUAAGCAAACAGAUAAUUUCUAUACCUGGUAAUUACUACCUUGAUAGGGCAAAGAGGAUUCUGUUUGUGCUGUAAAAGCACAUGAAAAGUACAAAGUCAAUCCUUGGGAGGUCAUGGAAUCUUUCCUAGGAAAUGAUAUAUAAGGUGGAUAAAAAGGUAACCAGAUACAGAUGAGAAGAGAAGGUGGGCCAGAAAUUUUGAAAUACUGAACCAACUGGAUGUCAUUCACUGACAUAGGGUAAUAGUAUAGAUGACUGGAUUGGAAAAUGAAAAAGGAACUAAAAGUAAUUAAAUGAGCUGCAGACAUGAAAAUGAACACUUGGGAAGUCCUGGCAGGAAGUCAUCAAUAAGACAACAUAAUGAAGUGGAAAGUGGUUGGGAGUAAGGCUGACUUGGAUUCAAACCCUAGUUUCACCACUUAAUAGACGUGUUAAGUUGAACAAAUCCUUUAACUUUUCAGAGCCUCAAUUUUCCUCUUUGUAAAAUACAGAUAAUAACAUGGACACUAUAAGGGUUUUGUUGUUGUUGUUGUUGUUUUGAGACGGAGUCUUGCUCUGUUGCCCAGGCUGGAGUGCAGUGCCUCGAUCUUGGCUCACUGCAACCUCUGCCUCCUGGGUUCAAGCGAUUCUCCUGCCUCAGCUUCCAGAGUAGCUGGGACUACAGGCGCACGCCACCAUGCCUGGCUAAUUUUUGUAUUUUUUGUAGAGACGGGGUUUCACCAUAUUGGCCAGGCUGGUCUCGAACUCCUGAUCUCAGAUGAUCCGCCUGCCUUGGCCUCCCAAAGUGCUGGGAUUACAGGCGUGAGCCACCGCACCUGGCCCAGACACUGUAAGUUUUGGGGAGGAUUAAAUGGGAUCAUCCAUGUAAAUGCGCCUAUCCCAGUCUCUAGCACACACUGAACACUCAAAAAUGGGAGGUUUUGGUAUUUCAGAAGAAAAUCAGGUGUCGGGGAGUGUUAGUAGUAACCUUGAACUAUAUGCAAAGACUAAAGCUAGGAAGAUAGGAAGAGUUUUACAAGAUCCUUUUGGCUAUAUAGUUAAAGUUAUUAGCAGUUAGAGUUUCCCUUACAGUUGACAAGUGAACCAUACAAGUGAAUGACUUGUGGUUCCUCAGAUAAAAGCACGAGUCAGAGUUGUAAUUUCUGUUUUGUGGACGUAAUUGUUGACCAAGUGCACUGAAGGUAGGGAUGGCCAGUAACAAAAUUAUAAAGCAGGCCUGUUUGUCUUCAAACACUCCUGAGUAAACUUGUCAUUUCCUUGUAAAAAUGCAAAAUAGACUACUGAGUAGAGGUGAUCAAUUACAGAAAUGCACUUACUUUGGCUUUCUUCUGAAACCUAAUAAAAUGACAGUAAAGGGAUUAUUUUUUUAAGGCAGAAACCCACAAUGAUGAUGAAAUUAGAAAGGAAGACAAGAACAACAAGGUUGUGGAAUUCAGAAGCCAUAUAGACAAGAGGUAACACACCUGAGAAAGAUGAUCCCUAAAUUUGUCUUGGAGAAAACUCAGAAGUACCUGACUACAUCAUAGACCUCCCAAACAGCUUCCAAAUGUCAGAUACCACUGAAAAUGGGGAUAAAGGUAGGGUCAAAAAUAGGAGGAUUGGGUUAUAAGUCUGUAUAAGAAGUUGUUAGAUCCCUACAUCCUCUCUUCAAACCUGUAUAGCCAGAUAAUGGUCCCUCUCCCAGCCUGGCAGAGGCUGGAAAAGGUAAAUAGAGAAACUUACUUCCUGGAGAACAUUUGGCACAUUUGGGGAUGGAGUUCAGUAAUAUAAAUGAAGGGGUAGUGAAAAUUUAUGGGAACAUUUAUAAGCUAACAGAACCCCAUGUCUUUUACCCCAUUCUAAUUCCAGACCACUAGAGAUUAGAAAAUUAUUCUCUGGGGUAUCUGACCACUUCCAGAGGAAAGACAUAAAGAUGCUGAUGUCGAGAAUGACCCAACUAAAUGGCCCAGCCAGAUGACCCAGUUGAAGCUGGUGGACAAGAAGUUUCAUUCAUGGAAUCAGAACUUCCAAUAAGCUGGGAAAACGGCAAUGGAUUAAUAACAAGAAAUUAAUGGUGAAGUGGUGACGAAAAUUCUACAUUGCUUAGAAAGCAAAUAGUGAAAUGAACAUUUACAUUCUGGCAACCUCAGAAGUACAACGAACAAAGGACACCAGCCAGGUAGGGCAAAGGCCUGUGAACCCCCUUUUGCUGUUAAAUGUUUAUCAGAUGAGUGCUCUGUUUCUGUUAUAUUAUAUUGCUUUUCUCUCCAAUGUUUACUGAGGAAGAACAAGUAGCUCCUCAGGCAAGUCAACUGUUAACUUUGCAGUUUUUAUUUAAUCUCCCAGGAAUGUAACCCUUAACUUUAAAGAAUGUAGUGACCAUAAAACUUAUAAAGCAUGUUUCUUAAGGAAAUUGUACCUGUUUAUUUAAUCUAUCAGAUAUGAAUGUUAUAGAAAAUUAAAUUUGUCCACUUAAGCUGUAGAUGAACUUUUCACCUUUCUGAUCAGAAAUUCACCAUCUUAUAGUAUAGGUUCUGUUAUUAAUCAGAAUAUUUCAUUUAGACUCUUUCUAUCCAACUUUUUCUUAGAGGCUAUUCAAAAUAAAGGUGCUUCUAACAGUUUCAUAUCGAAAUACGAUGCAAAGCCUUGCUCUUCCAUGGUAUCCUUUGAGUGAGCCAAACUUAUUUAGCCAUUCCCCUAUAGUUAAAUAGCUAGGAUGUUUCCAACAUCUCACCUUUAAAACAAUAGUGCUAUGAAUGUCAUAAAUGUUUGUAUAUGUAAAUAUGUAGGAUAAAUCCCUAUCAGUAGAAUUUCAAAAGGUAUACGCAAUCAGUAUUUUCAUACAUAUUUAAAAUUUUCCAUCCAUACAAAGGUUGCUAACAUAUUUAUUUAAAAUUUUAAAAAUAAUUUUAUAUGCCUCUUGUAACCAGUAAUAGGAUGCAAAGUUUUUUUUAAGGUAACAUUGCUCCUCUUCCCCCAUUGUCUCUGUCAUCUAUAGUACUCCCUGAGGUAGUUCAUGUUAUUGCAAGGGUGUGUAUCAUCACAAACAUAUUGCUUCCACAUACAUAUAUCAGCAUACAUAUAUAUAUAUGUAUAGCAUAUAUAUAUAUGAGCACAUAUUAAUAUAUGCCCAUGCACAUACAAGCAUGUUUUUGUUAAUUUUUACUGAAAUGGAAUCAUACUGCAUACUUAUGAACAAAUUGCUUCUUUCACCUUAUAUCACUUAUAAUUGUUAUUCUACAAAUCAGUACAUAUAAAAAAUACAUAUUUACAUAUGUAAUACUCUAUCUUUCUGUUAUAAUUUUCUGCAUGCACAUGUAUGCAUAUACAUAUAUUCAUAAACAUAAAACUUAAUCUAAACGGGAUUUUUUUUGGGGGGGGUGAUAUGGUUUGGCUGUGUCCCCACCCAAAUCUCAUCUUGAAUUCCCAUGUGUUGUGGGGGGACCCGGUGGGAGGUAAUUGAAUUAUGGGGGCAGGUCUUUCCUGUGCUGUUCUCGGGAUAGUGAAAAAGUCUCACAAGAUCUGAUGGUUUUAAAAAGAUGAGUUUCCCUGCAUAAUCUCUCUUCUCCUGUCUGGUUCCAUGUGAGAUGUGCCUUUUGCCUUCCGCCAUGAUUGUGAGGCCUCCCCAGCCAUGUGGAACUGCCCAUAGGUGGAAGGGACUUGCCUUGUCUCAGAUGAGACUUUGGACUUUGGACUGUGGACUUUUGAGUUAACACUGAAAUGAAUUAAUGCUGAAAUGAAUUAAGACUUUGGGAGACGGUUGAGAAGCCAUGACUCAUUUUAAAAU
rnacentral:lncRNA from 1 species